UCUGUACCUGCACCUACUGAAGUAGUGGAAUCUUUGCCAGUCAAAUUAUACACGAAGUUGCAAAAGCAACAGCAUGAGGAGGCAGCUCAAUGCUAUAUAUGCCUUGUGGAGUAUGAGGAAGGGGACAGCAUGCGGAUACUGCCUUGCCAUCAUGAAUUUCAUAGAACAUGUAUAGACAAAUGGCUCAAGGAGAUCCACUACUUCAGUAGGUGCAGGUACAGA
rnacentral:misc_RNA from 1 species